UACGAGGGGGGCGAGCGUUGUUCGGAAUUAUUGGGCGUAAAGGGUGCGUAGGCGGCCUGACAAGUCUGAUGUGAAAUCCCUGGGCUCAACCCAGGGCCUGCAUCGGAAACUGUCGGGCUUGAGUAUGGGGGAGGUGAGUGGAAUUUCCGGUGUAGCGGUGAAAUGCGUAGAUAUCGGAAGGAACACCUGUGGCGAAAGCGGCUCACUGGACCAUUACUGACGCUGAGGCACGAAAGCUAGGGGAGCAAACAGG
rnacentral:rRNA from 1 species